UAUGUGCAAAGUGAAGUGUUCUGCAAAAUAGCCAUCUUUUACAAAAUAAAUGCAUGAAGCCCCAAGGAAACAUAUGGAAAAAAAUUAUAUUUCAGGGCAAAGUGAUGGAUAAAUAUAGAUUAUUCUCUGCAAUGAAUUAUAUAAGUGGAGACUAAGGAAGACUCCUUCUGCUGGCUGAUUAGAAAAGGUCUGACUAUGUCCUGAAAUAAUGUCACAGGUAGAACCAGAUUAGGUUUUUCAGCCUCUGGCAGAGCCCAUAAAAAAAACUCUCAAUCAACAUGGUCACUGGCUAAAGCAAGCAUGUGCAAGCUUUGGCUGUCCAGGUGUUUUGGACUUCGAUUCCCACAAUUCCUACUGGCUGCUGAAGUCCAAAAUACCUGGAUGCAGGGCUGUUGCCAAGGGGAAGAUGGUAAAAACAUCAAAACACUCACUAAGAAUCUCUCUUUCUUUGUUCUUUGACUUCCUCAAGUUGAAAAGUGAGCUGUGUAAAAUACUUUAAUUCUUGCAGUCUAGCAAGAGACACUGGCCACUGAAAUAUUUACACAUCAUCUUUAACUAUGAUUCUAUUGCUUCUGAUUUGAUUGUAUAUUAGAAGUUAAAUGAGAAAUGCUGAAUUUGAAUCAUGCAUACCCAUGCAGUGAGAGGGAGUUGAGAUUUGAGAAAGAAAAGUAAGCUCCCAAAAGCCAAACACAGUUGAAGUCUUUAUGAUUAAGGCUGCAAAAUGUCAUGGGCCAUUCCUAUCAAAGGAACAGCACCCUCCGAUGAUUCAAUCAGUUAGUUGAAAUGGCAUCAGGCUGGCAUUCCAGAAACAGUAGGACUAUAAAACACAACUUUUACAUCAUUGAAUUAUACUUUAUUUAUAUUCCGUUCUAGCUCCCCGAGGGCACUCAGAGCGGAUUACAGGUACAUAUAUGGCAAACAUUCAGUGCCGUUAUACAAUUGACAAAGACAGACAGUACAUUAAACAGAGGCAAGGCUUCCCUCUUUUCCUCUCCGGCAUCUGGCUAUGCUCGACUUGGCCAUGGGGAGGUGCUGUUGUUUCAUUUUCCAUGCCGAGGAGUCUGUCGUCCAUGGAUACCUUUCCUGGUCAGAUUUUUGCCAUAUGUUUUUCAGGGUGCCUUAUACCUCCCUGCCAAAGUGGUACCUAUUUAUCUACUUACAUUGUUGCUUUCGAACUGCUAGGUGAGCAGAAGCUGGGCUGACAGUGGGAGCUCACCCUGACCCAGGCUCGAACUGCCAACCGUCCAGUCAGAAGAAUCUUCUAUAGCUGACAGUUUAACCCACUGUGCUAGCACGGCCCAAAUGUAAUAUGCUCCCAUUGGUGGAACCUUUUACUGAAGAUGAGUCUAAGAUUCCUGGGCUGGGGUAUACUGAUGUGUUCAGUGUCCUUGGGUAUAAGCUCUGUGGGCACUGGAAAGCAUGAGUAAAUAGGAGGCCGAGUAUGUUGCAAGCCUGAGAGAGCAUUACAAACACAGACUAAGAAUGUUAUCCCACACUGCCCCCCCCCACCCCUAUGUUACUAAACACUUUGAAACACAGAUAGAUAAUGAUGUACGACAGAGGCCACAAUGUACAGGACUUUCUGUCUGCUCCCGUCAUAAAUCAUUAGAAAAGCAUCUCAAAAGUCUUGGGGAGGGGGGCUCAAGAAUCAGUAUAUAACUGGGGAAAACAGCAAAAAAGUGAUGGGAGUUGCCAAAUUUGCCCAUGUUGAAUCAUUUCAGUGAAUCGUUAUUGACAUUUCUCUCCUAAAAUCCUGCUUCAUGAGCCUGGCAUGGUAAUUUUUAAAAUUAAUUUAAUCUUUCAAAAUACUGUACAAACAUUUCAAAAUAUCUCUGUUAUUCCUGUCUGUACCGCUAGCUUUUAAAGUUUUGGACUUCCGCAAUGGAAAGCCCUGAGAUUGGGAGGAAAGCCCAGUAUCCUCAAAGUGGUGUCUAGAGGAGAUGCUCGGGUUUACUCCAGAACACCAGGAUUGGAGGUGAAAGCCCACACUCCAUGAAGUUGGCUUUCAUUGAAUUCACUCAGUGGUUAAUGCGAUGAUUGCACUGUGCCCUUUCCUAUUACAGUACUUGGUGCGAUUCUGCAUCCUUGUCUUUAAAAUAUUAAACAACAACAGCAAUAACAACAACGAUAAUAACCCCCAAAACCAAACCUUAAUGUUGAUGUUUUAUAUAAGGGACACAAUUUUACACCAUUGUAUAUAAUGGGACUUGAGCAUGCACUGAUUUGGAUAUCAAUUGAAGUCUUCAGCUGAUCUCAAGGGCUCACUAUACUGACUUUAAACUAAUUUGUUUGUAAGGAAUAACAAGGCAAUCUUAUGAUCCAGUUCUGGGAGCAGCAUAAUAAUCACAAUUCUAUGUUCAGUAAAUAGUUACAGUAGAAUGAAACUUUUAGAUGCAUAAUGGCGUAUUAUUAUGGUGUUACGCUCUUGUGCUGCUGAACUGCUUACCUGAAGGUUUGCAGUUCAAAUCAGUGAGACAGGGUGAGCUCCCAUCUGUCAGCCCAGCUCCUGCCAACCUAGCAUUUCAUAAACAUGCAAAUGUGAGUAGAUAAAUAGGUCCCUCUUCAGCCGGAAAAGGCAAAGAGAUGCUUCAAGCAAUCUUGCUGGCCACAUGACCAGGAGGUGACAACGCAGGCUCCUUGGCUUGAAAAUGGAGAAAAAAGCAACUCCCCAAAACCAGAGAUGAGCUCCGUCUCCAGAAGCUGGAAAUGAAAGGAGAAGCCUUUGCCUUGUUUCUGUUUGUAUGUCUUAUUGUAUUUGACUCUAAGGGAAUUGAAUGUUUGCCUAUGUAAAUGCUGCAAUUCGCUCUGAGUCCCUUAGGGGAGAAGGGCAGAAUAUAAAUAAAGUCUAUCAUUAUUAUUAUUAUUAUCAUCAUUAUUUUAUUUCUUACCCAUCUCUCCUCCUGGCUUGAGGCGGAUCACAGCACAGUCAAAACACACAAACAUUGCAAAAAUUCUAUAAAAAUAUUAAAAUGUAGUUCUAGAAAAGAUAAAUUUGAAAAUAUAAUUCUAUAAAAUACAUACUAAAUAGACAGGACAGAGAUGAAAACAUUCAACUUUAAAAUUCAUGCUUAAAACUGGCUGGGUAGGCAUGCAGGAAGAGAUAGGUCUUUAGAUGGAUUUAAACUCCAACAGCUCAUUUAGCUGUCAGAGCUCUUUCAACAGGUCGUUCCACAGUCUUGGGGCAAUCGAUGAAAAUGUCCUCCAGGUGACAGUUGCCAGUCGGGUUCUGGCUGGUUGAAGUAGAUGCAACUUAUGAGUUAAAUUUUGUACAAUGUGUUUUAUUAUUUAAUGUUAUUUGCUUUUAUAUGAACUGUUGUUUUAGUGUACUGUUUUCGGGCAUUGAAUUUUUGCCUAUUUAUUGUAAGCCGGCUUGAGUCCCCUCGAGUGAGAAAGGCGGGGUAAAAAUGCUGUAAAUAAAUAAAUAAAUAAAAAAAUACUGUACUGGAGAAGGCAAUCCUGUAGGUAACCUGUGUUAAUGGUUGGAGAAAAAAAUAAAUAAAUAGAAAUUUUACCACAGUUUCUGAAUCAAGAUAAACCCUGCAGUAUAAUAAAAUGUCACUCAGGCUUGUGCAACAGGCAAUAGUAUCUUUACUUCAGUUCAAAAGUUCAAACAGGGCAACAAUAUAUAUAUAACAGUCUUUCUGAAUGCACACAGAGAACAUGGGAAUAAACAGUCCCUUUAAAUAUGUUUUUAAAUAUGCAAUUUCUCUCUUCAGAAUUCUGGCUCCUGACUGGCUCAGCCAAUCAGCUGUCUCCACAUGCUCUUUCCAGUUAACUCACUACAUCACAAUAUCUUUCAUAAAUCACAACCUGGACACAAACUAUAUAGGGCUUCAAAGGUCAAAACUAAAACCUUGUACUUUCCCUGGAAACUAAUUGGCAGCCAGUAGGGUGACUUUAGGAUAGGUGUGAUAUGCUCACUUCUAACAAAUCUGGCUGCUAUAUUUUGAAACAGCUGGAGUUUCCGAACUUGGUACUAAUGUAACCCAAUGUAAAGUGCAUUGCAGAAGUCUGACCUUGAGGUUAUCAGCAUGUUCACUACCAUCUUUAAGUCUUCUAAUUCUAGGAAGGGGAGCAGUUGGCAUAUCAGCCAAAGCUGAUAUAUUUCUCCCAGCAGCUUCAUGAAAAUAUUAAAAAGCAUUGGGAAUAGAAUGGCACCUGGUGGGAUGCCACAUAACACUCCUUUUUU